rnacentral:rRNA from 1 species
GAUGAACGCUGGCGGCGUGCCUAAUACAUGCAAGUCGAGCGAACGGACGAGAAGCUUGCUUCUCUGAUGUUAGCGGCGGACGGGUGAGUAACACGUGGAUAACCUACCUAUAAGACUGGGAUAACUUCGGGAAACCGUAGCUAAUACCGGAUGAUAUUUUGAACCGCAUGGUUCAAAAGUGAAAGACGGUCUUGCUGUCACUUAUAGAUGGAUCCGCGCUGCAUUAGCUAGUUGGUAAGGUAACGGCUUACCAAGGCAACGAUGCAUAGCCGACCUGAGAGGGUGAUCGGCCACACUGGAACUGAGACACGGUCCAGACUCCUAAGGGAGGCAGCAGUAGGGAAUCUUCCGCAAUGGGCGAAAGCCUGACGGAGCAACGCCGCGUGAGUGAUGAAGGUCUUCGGAUCGUAAAACUCUGUUAUUAGGGAAGAACAUAUGUGUAAGUAACUGUGCACAUCUUGACGGUACCUAAUCAGAAAGCCACGGCUAACUACGUG